UACGUAGGGUGCGAGCGUUGUCCGGAAUUAUUGGGCGUAAAGAGCUCGUAGGCGGUUUGUUGCGUCGGCUGUGAAAUCCCGAGGCUCAACCUCGGGUCUGCAGUCGAUACGAGCAAACUAGAGUGUUGCAGGGGAGACUGGAAUUCCUGGUGUAGCGGUGAAAUGCGCAGAUAUCAGGAGGAACACCGGUGGCGAAGGCGGGUCUCUGGGCAACAACUGACG
rnacentral:rRNA from 1 species